rnacentral:rRNA from 1 species
UACGAAGGGGGCUAGCGUUGCUCGGAAUUACUGGGCGUAAAGGGCGCGUAGGCGGAUAUUUAAGUUAGAGGUGAAAGCCCAGGGCUCAACCCUGGAAUAGCCUUUAAUACUGGAUAUCUUGAGUUCGGGAGAGGUGAGUGGAACUCCGAGUGUAGAGGUGAAAUUCGUAGAUAUUCGGAGGAACACCAGUGGCGAAGGCGACUCACUGGCCCGAUACUGACGCUGAGGCGCGAAAGCGUGGGGAGCAAACAGG